rnacentral:lncRNA from 1 species
AUGGUAUGAGAAUAAAAUUUAAUACUCUAUUGUGCUACCUGUCAUUUCUAUAACCUGUUUUUGCCUCUCUGUCUGUCAUUACUGUGUCCAUCUUCUCCACAGCACAACACAAGCCAUAGAAGACCACUCACAAUUCCAACAUUCUUAUUAUUUUCUUUUUAAUCUAAAGAACUCAAAUCUACUUGGAAUUGUAUACGGAAAAUGGAGAUCUGAAAAAUUGAAAUCAGAUUUGAGGCCGAGGUUUGAGCUUCACUCAACGAUUUUGGUCAUAGUGGAGAAAAGCAAAUAUCCAAGUUAGAAGAAUGCUUUACUUGUAUGAAAUUGGCUAUUCAAAGUUCUUGCAUGCGAGUAUUUUGCCAUUUUUUGCUUUAAUUUUUUUUUGUUGUUGAAAGUUAUACAUUGCAGAUUGUUUUUUUCAAAAUAAUUUAUUAGAUCUUCCAGUUUACAUACCAACUGAUGAUUAAUAUGAGUCUCCACUUUAUUCUUGCUUUCAUUUCUAUUCAUAAUUUUGCUUCAAUAAAAAAUUGAUUGGACUCUCCUUUAGCAGAAAUAAACCGAAUUCUGAUUUAUUUUCAUUUCUUCCAAUUGCUUUAUUUAUGCCUCUAACCAAGGCAGGCCUAUCAUUCAAUUUUCUCUUUGUUCUUACAGAGUUUUAUGCUAAUUCAUUUCAUUUGAGAUUCGUUGGAAUUUUGGGAUUAUGAACAUUUAUUUUACUUGGACCAUUUGAACAUUUAUUUAAUUUGUUGGAAUUUUGGGAUUGAUAGGCAAUGUUCAUGUCAGUUAUAACUGAAAAGAUUUUUGUCCUUCUGUUUUAUGAUUGUGAUUUUCAUGGCUAUUCUUUUUUUUUAUGAGACAAUGUAAUAACUGAAUAAUUUGAUUCCAAUUAAGAGAAAGUGAUUAAUUUGAUGAACUUUAAUGACCACUUAGGAAAUUAAUUCUGCAAUCAUAGUUUGAAUCUAUUCAUCGUUGGUACAAAUAUACUUGCAUCAAAUAUGUAGUUGUGCUGGAAAUUUGGGAAAAUAUACUUGCAAUUAUAUUUGAAUUUGUUGGUUUCAUUUAAAGUUUGUUCAAAGAUAUUUGUCAGCCAUUUACACAACUAUAUGCACUCAAGGCUUUUAUAAUAUUUUGUUGCAAAUAGGUAAAUACCAAAUGAUGAAGAGACGUAUGGAUGGAGGAAAUUGUGUACUGGAAGUAAGGUCAUGUUGGUCUACAAGAUUUUGACUUCAUCUAAUGAAGUUUGUACAACUUAGGAAGUAUAGAUGUUUAAUGAGAAUCUUUGUUUAAUUAGGUUCCUUUUCAAUGUUCCUUUAAGAAAUUUGAUUGCAGCAGUAAAUUUAUAAUUUUGAUGUCAAAAGUACUCCAAAUCACGUGUUUGGCCCGUGCUGCAGCAUUAAACAUCUAGUGAUUAUUCAGAAAUAAUACUAAAAUUUGAAGAAUAAAUAAUGUAAUAACAUUCACUUUCUCAUCUGAAUAUAGAAAUUUGUUUUUAU